CUGAUUCUGAUGGGUCAUGCCCAUUCAUAAUUAGCCUAUGAAGGGGAUGCCCUAAUUUCCAACCAAUCAUGGAAUGUCAUGUGGACGCUUUUGGAACCUUCAACCUCAUGAGCAUCGUCAACCAAUGAGCAUCCUCCUUAAGCAUCUUCAAUUGAUGAGCGUCCUCCUUGAGCAUAUUCAACUGAUAAGCGUCCUCCUCGAGCAUAUUCAACUGAUAAGGAUCCUCCUUGAGCAUCUUCAACUUGUGAGCAUCCAUAAUUCUCACACGAGAUCCAUGAUGAUCACGCGUAAUCCCUGAUGCUCACUUGAAUUUGAUCAAGUAUUCACACCGCUACAAAAGCAUGUACUUUUAGAAUAAUAUUUGAAAAUGUAAAGGCUUGUACGUAACUUUUUCUUUGUAUUGGUUGAUUCAUCCUCAUUAGCAAAAUAUGUUAAACUUAAGAUUUUGUGACAUAAUUCCACAAAUUUAACUAUUUGUUUUUAAAAUUUGUAACAUCCCAAAUAUAUGAAUAAAAUUUUGUUUUUAAAUUCAUUCAAAUCAUACGAUACUAAUAUCAAAAUUGUCAAAAGUGUAUCAUAGCAACGUGUUAUCAGAGUAAAAAUUCCCAAAAUCUCAAAAUGCGGAAACGAUAGGGUGAUACGGUGCGAUCAGGUCGGUCCCUUCCCUUUCGAACUGGAAGUACCUGAAACAUAAACUGAAAAAAAUUGUAAGCGUAAACCUUAGUGAAUUCCCCCAAAAUACCACAUACCAUACAAACAUACAACUAAGCAUAUAUGGGUGCUUGCAAUCCCCUUCAGUCUAUUUCAACUGAAUACUGGCAAGCAUAUAUGGAUGCUUACAAUCCCCUUCAAUAUAUUUCAACUGGAUAUCGGGUCUAUUUCACCCCUACCACUACCAUAUAAUAUCAUACUAAAGAAUCACAGAGUCAUCAAGCAAACAGAGGCAUAACUGAAGAUUACUACAUCAUAAACUAGUGACCCGGCAUUGGUGCCUUCGACCCAAGGAUACAAUGAAGGAAACUCACCUCAGACUGAAGGUAUAAAAUCGCACUUAAUGGAUGACUUGCGAAAUCCUCUCCCUAAGGCACAAGUAUAAACCCUAAUUAGAGAUUGGGCCAAUAUCCUAACCUGAAAUUCCAAACCCUCAUUCUUGACUUAAGGAAAAAAGGGUUUCUUCACCCUUGCCUCAAUGGGCCUCCCUCCCACCAAGUCCUAAAACCAUACAAGUCCAAAAAGGCAUCCAAGCCCAACUACAAAGUCCUUUAAGGCCCAAUAUGGCCCAAGAGCACCCAACAUGGCCUUAAUCCCACCAAAUGUCUUGCUACAACAGGUGGGCCAGAGGCCCAAUCCUAAACAAGUAAAAAACUCAACCAGAUUUGAGCCCAAAAAUCUUUUAAGUCCACAGACUACGUACGCGCAACAUACAUGGCUCGUACACCCAACAUACACUGAUGAUCUGAAAUUGGGGCACUGACCCAGUACACGCAGCGUAAUCUAGAGGGCGCCCGACGUAUUGGUCAGUCAACCCAAACUUGCACCCAUGAAUUAAUCCAUUAAGCCCUAACAUCCAAAACUUAGAUCCAAGCUCAUAAUAGUGUCUUAAGUCAUAAAGUUGCAAACCUUAUGCUCUUGCAUGCCUUAUUGAGGCUCAAACUAUGAAUUAAGCCCUUUAACUCACUUAGGUGGUCACCAACUCAUGCAUGGUUGAGUCUUAACCUUCAAGAUAAUAUUUUUAUGACUUCAUGCACUCCCAAGAGUCCCAAAGGACAACUUAAAUGGCCUCGAGUAGCCCAUACUCCAAAAGACCAAGUUAUGGGACUAAAAGAUGCUAAAAUCAUCCUUAAACCUAGAUAUAAGCUUAGAAUGAACAAGUUUCAGACUUUAUACAUUCAAUAGGCUAGAAAUGAUGCACAAAUUCUAGAUCUACAAGCUCAUUAUUCUCCUUUCCUUCUUUGUCAAAACCACAAAAGAACCCCCAAACACUAUAUGUAAGAUACAAAUGCACUCAAUAUGGCUAGGGUUUCGAGAUUAGCACUAAAAGGCAAUGGAAGCUGAAAGGGUGAUGCACCUAGUGGCGGAGCUAAGAAGGGGCCAGGGGAGGCCAUCCCCCCNNNNCUAAAUAGAAAAUAUUAUACAAACAACAACCGUAAACUCUAUUUUCUGAGAAAUAACAACAAAUCGGCCCCUACAGCUUUUGUAAUAAUGGAUUAAGCAUUGAAAUUAUUUUCAAGUUAAUCCCAAAGAGAGGCAUAUAUUUGAGAAACUAAAAGAAUCGGAAGCCACUAAAAUAAAAGCUACAAAUUCAAAAUAGCUAACUAUCCUAUUUUGACGGAAGCUAUUUUGACAGAAGUGGGGAUAUUGUACAAUUUUUUUUUUGAAAAUUUGAACUAUUUAAUAACCUACAAGGUAAAGAAAGAAGUGGAAAACGUAUCAAAGAUAAAACCAGAAACUUAUAACUCUUAAUUAUGUCUCCGCCUCCUUAUUCUCGCCCUCUCCGUCACAACCGGUUUCUUCUCCGGCUCCGGAGUCGCCGAAUCGUCGCCGCCGCUCGGUCUCUCAGUCUCUCCGUCCGGAGUGCCUCUCCGACUUCCACAACUCCGAUCGCUUGAGCACCUUCAGAUUAUCACGUCUCCAUCUCACCUCUACAAUCUCGAAUUCUCGAUUAAUUGUAAGUCAUUUUGCCUCUCAUUUUGUAUAUUCUUAUUAUAGUGUUUUAGGGUUUGUACAAAGAGAAAUAAGGGAUUUUAAAAGGAGAUGUGAUAUGAUAUCCCAAGAUGGGGCAGCACACUUCUCAACAUCUGCUAAUUUGCUAGUGUUAAGUCGUCGCUUUUUUCUUUUCUUUUUUAAUAUUUGAUAAUUAACAUUUAAAAAGUAUGUUUGUUUUUUUCAUAAUUAUAAUACCCUUUAUUAAAUCAUAGAAAAUAUAUUAAUUAAAUAGAUUAUAUAAUUAAAAUGUAAAAGUUACAUUAAAUAAAGACGAUGUAAUUUAAAAUUUAAUUUUAGAAAUAAAAGGUAUAGUUUAAAACUUGUAUAUAAUUAUAAGGGUGUAAUUUAAAAAACUACAUCCAAGUUUUAGAAAAAAAAUCCUGUAUCCUGUACCAAAAAAAAUUAUGAACAAAAUUUAGAGUACAUCACACAUGUUUUUUUGCAGCUAGUUACUUAAGGACUUUAAUAAAGUGCAAAGGUUUGCCUCUGGCUAGAGUAGGCCCAACGUACGCCAGGAUCAUUCCGAUGAUAUGCAUGCAAGGAGUAUGCCUUGCGUACCUACUACCUAAUGUACGCCCAACGUACUCACGAACCAUUCACCACCUUUUUAAUUGAAUCAAAUAGAAUAAUAGAUUAAUACCAUACCUGACGACUUGGGCGUUACAAAAUUUGUCUUUUAAAAACAUUACUUAAAAUAACUAAUGCGAUAGAUGUUUGAAUAACUACGAGAAUCUCGGAGAGUUAAGAUUGCAUCGACCAUGUUGUAUAAUUUUUAGGACUUUAGGUGUUAUUUGUCGCAACCCGUGGCUCGACUCUUAAUCUAGAGUGUUGUUGGUGGGUUACACCACUAGCCGAACACACAGGCCUUUACAUCAUGGUCUCGAUUAGAGAUGCACAUUAGCGAUCUCAGGCCGGUCUUGGGUUGGUUUCAAAACGUUUCGGUUUUUUUU
rnacentral:lncRNA from 1 species